rnacentral:lncRNA from 1 species
AUGCUCUGGUACCUUGCCUGGCGGAUUGGACACAAGCUUCAUGAUAAAAUUGAAAUCCACUUCCUUAUUGCUGGCCACACCAAGUUUUUCCCUGACUGUGGCUUUGGACUCAUCAAGCAAGUCUACAUGAAGACAAGAGUCAACACUUUGGCAGACAUCGCUGAGGUUGUGGAAAACAGCUCUCCUGUGAAUCACCUCAAUAUCCCACAGCUUGUUGGAAUGGCAGAGGGCAAAGUUUUAGUCCAGACCUUCGACUGGCAGCAGCAUCUGACUCGCCACUUCCGUAGACUAGCACAGAUCAAGAGUUAUCAGCACUUCAGGUACUUAUAUUGAAACUUUCACAUUGUGUACAUACAAUAUAACAUAGCAACAACAUACACAUGACAGUAUUUUAUGAGAAAAUACUUUGCCAUGUUUAAAAUGUCUUAUGUGCUUAUUCUGUCACAGCCAAGAGACCAGGUGUGGUGCUUGCAAAAACUCACCGUGAUGCACAAUAUCGGCUACUGCGCGACAGAGCAGAUCUGCCCCCUAUCGACGGUCUUCCUGUCCUGGCCCCACCUGGACUGAACAUUGACAGGCAGACCUAUCUGUAUGAAAAAAUCAGGCCAUUGUGUGCUGACGAGGCAGGAGACAUCACAUGCCCAGCGCCAAGGGUCACAACACAGAAGAGACCACAGAAGAGGAUGCAAAUGUGAUAUCAUUGGAUAUCAUUUGACAUUGAAAGUGCUUGAAUUUAUUUUGUGCAAGAAGUUUUUCUGGAAGAAAUUCCUCUCUGGUCCCAUAAUGUGUUAUUUCGCCAACACUUCGUGGACUAUGCUUGAUUUACGUUAGUUACUUGCAUUUACGCGUUAUGUUAAGGGUUUCCCGCGUGAGGUAAUUUUUUGUUGUACGUUGCCAUGAUGUUUAUGCACGCACAAAACUACUACGGUACACAAUGUAACCUUGCUCUCACUCGAAAUGUGUCCCCACAUUAAGUCCUUGAAUUUGAGGGUAUUGGACCUGGAAAGUCCUUGAAAGGUUUUUGAAUUUGAAGUUAACCAAGCUGUGGGAACGCUGUAUUAACAACUAUCCAAACUGUUUUAGACCUAAAAGAGUCUUUGUAGACCUAUGUUACCCUUAAAUGUCAGAGAAAAGAACAGAAUCAGAGAUUAAUUUUUUCUUAUAAAAAAAAUUGUACUUUGCAUAUUAUACUAUAAAAACACAAUUAUAGUUGAUUUUAGUUUAUCAUAGUUGAUCAUAACUAGAGAUGAAAUGGCAUGAAAAUUUCAUUUCAUGAUUAUAGUGACCAAAAUGAUCACGGUUAUCACAGAAUCCUGUUCAAAAAUGGUUGUAAAGCUGCAACCAUGCAGCUUUACAGGGGGUAUGGCUUAUCUAAAUGAGAUGUAAAUGAGCCCUAUUGUCACUCCCAGCAGGUGAGAACAGGUGAGAACUGCACAAUCUUUAGAGGCCAUUUUCUCCCUUUUGAGCUCUUUUGAGUGCCUACCUUCAAAUGGCCACAACUUCUCCAAAUAUUAUCAGAUUUCCAUGUGUUACACAUCGUUGAAAAGCUUGGAGACUACACUUUCAGAAUCUGUGAAUAACUCAAAAUGCCCCAGAACCGACUUGUGUCCCUACUUUCCAUGAUUGGUCACAGAAUGGGUAAUACCACUGCGUGUACCGCUGCCGCAGGGCCACGGCGUUAACUGCAAGUCAGUCACGUUUUAAAAUCAUUCGCGAAACUACCGCCAGGUGGCGCAAAGGGAUGGAUUGCGAACUGAAUGUAAUUGUAAAAUGUUGGUUUGUUAAUGGAAAUGAAAGGACGAAGUAAAACAACAAUAACAUUAUAAUAUAACAUUGUAACAUCCUUAAAAACCAUUAGAACAUUUACAGUGAGUUAAUUUCAAAACGUGGGAUAGUCUUAGGCUCAUUUCAGUUCAUUCUUGGGUUAAAAAAAAAAAAAAAG